rnacentral:rRNA from 1 species
AGCUCCAAUAGCGUAUAUUAAAGUUGCUGCAGUUAAAAAGCUCGUAGUUGCAUUUCCGAGGCAAGGGAUUAGUCCGACCUUUGGUGGGUAUUUAAUCCUCUUGCCUCGUCCUUGAGUGGUGCUUCUUGGUAUUAAGUUAUCGAGGAGAUAGCCGCUCAUCGUUUACUGUGAGAAAAUUAGAGUGUUCAAAGCAGGCUUAUGCCGUUGAAUAUAUUAGCAUGGAAUAAUAAGAUAGGGCCUCGGUACUAUUGUGUUGGUUUGAGAACCAAGGUAAUGAUGAAUAGGGACAGUUGGGGGUAUUCGUAUUCAGUUGUCAGAGGUGAAAUUCUUAGAUUUACGGAAGACGAACUACUGCGAAAGCAUUUACCAAGGAUGUUUUCA